AAAAAAAAAAUAAUGAGCCCAGGCACUUUCCAAGAAACAAAGUGCUUUACUUCGCUUCGCCUUGUGCUCGCGUGUUUGCUGAGAGGGCAGAAUUUCAUCCACGGUAACAGAACAUAGAUUUUCCGAUGGGAAACGGGCCACACCGACUGAUGCUAACCGUUUAAAUAACGCGCUCGCGUGCUUGCUUUAAGGCGGUUUUAAUUUUCCUCCCUCACAACCGGACAGAGACACACGAACUCGGUGAAGCCCCGAAGAGUGCCGAUUUACAGCUCACGGCCGCGGGAAGGGCGGGCACGGCUGCGCUCGUGUCCCCUCACGCCGGCCUGCCCCGGCCCGGCGGGGGCGGAGGACGGGGCUCCGCAAGCGCGAUUCCCUCCCCUCAGGGGAGCGGGGCGGCGCCCGGCCGGUCGCAGCCCCCGUCCCGACGCCGGGGGAGACGCGGCUCCUGCCGGCGAGCGCCCGUUUGACCUGACCCCGCGGCCGUCCCUCCGGCGAGGGGCUCAGCCCACCCGCCCCCACGGCAGAAGCCGAGAGGGAGCCCUUCUCCGCCGGCGAGGCGAGGCGGGAGGAGGCCCGGGACGCGACUCACCGGCGUUGAGGACCUUGAGGGCGGUGAAGGCGGCGUUCUGCAGCGCCAGGUCAAAUCCAACCCCGUGAGCUUUACACAUCUGGAGGAGGACACGGUAGUAGAUUACUGAAAGGCUGGAGUGCCUCAGCUGAGCGCUUGCUACCGCACACCGGCUGCGUACUGGAGAAGGCUAGAGAAAACAACACCGCGUUCUUUAUUUUCAUACCGGUUUAUAUCAGAAACCAACGAUUCACUGUUUAAAUGGCAUUUUCUCAGUGAACUCAUGGAAGUGCGCAGCAGGGCUCCGCUCAGAGGUAUGCCUGCUCAUCCUGAUGUCUACUGAACACAGACAUUUCCGUGCAGCAAAAUUAAAGCCUCGUCUCACACCGUCCGUAAAGCCUUAUAUUAUAGACCAGGCCUACAGAAUCACUCUUUAUGAACCACAUUUUUAUAUUUUUCGCAGCUUCAUCGGUAACUGAGCCCUGUGAAAUCAUUCUUGUGGAUCCUCUGAAUCCAUCCUGCCCUGUGGUAACACGUGUUGUUCUAGACUCAGCUCUUCUCAACAGCAGAAAUUCCAAAGCAGAUAAUCUGGGUUUAGCCAAGACCGAGCAUUCUGCUGUAGCAUUAGCGUGCAUGACUUUUCCAGCAAGGCUUUGAGGAGACCAGGCCCGCAACUCCAAGGGGCUCCAAAGCUGGUACCGGUGGAGUUUGUGCCACGGAUAAAAGUCAGUACCUCGUUUGAGCUUAAACUCUUACCAGUGCUUAGGACAAAAGAAUAGAGACGUUGCAUUGAGUAGAACCGAACAGAGACGUUCUCCUGGAGAACCGAGGCUUUCCUGUGAUGUUAUUUUUAACACUGGACUGUUCAUUCAGAGUGGGGAUACUGCUCGCUGAAGCAUAGCCGUAGUAAAUCCUGCACCAAGACUGCUCUGAUGUAACGAAUCAGCAUAACCAGCAAGUCACACGCUAACCACGCUUCUGCGACAGCGCGUAAGGACGUCAAAGCACUGCACAAAUACCAUCUUCUUUAAAAUCGCAUCCCUGGCAGGGACUAUAAUGGACUCCAGAGUUUUCAGAGAGAUGAAAGGCGAGGCCCGCGAGCACAGGUGCCCCAGCGCGCAUCAUUUCGGUGCCUACGCCUGCAGUCCUGAGCGCCUCGGCUUCGUGCGCAGCACCCGCGGAGAGCCGAGCACACGUGCAUUCACAGCCCGUGGCACCGAGCGUGGCCAAAUCUGACCUGGCAAUAGGAAACAGGUUGAGCGGGGCGACUUCGGGGCUCGGCUCUCUUGCUUGGUGUUGAUGGAGGGGCGGCGGCGGCAUGUUCCUGCUCAGGGAACUCGCCUUGGUUCGGGUGCUAUGAGUUUUUCUUCCUGUUCAAAUAACUGUGCCCAUAAUUAAUACUGAACUAUUAAUACUGAACAGUUGGAUGGUUGCAGAACUAAACGAGCCUUCCGAGGACCAACAUCUGGGUUUAGUUCAAGUGAGAGCUGGGAGGGAUUUAGGUGUCCACACCCUUCUGCAGUUGUAGCCCUGAUUGUUUUACGCUCAGUUUUGUGCACGAAAGGACAAAGCUGGGGUAGAACGUCAGUGCUCUAAUUCCUGACCCCAAACCAGAGCUCAUGAGCUGAAGGCUCAGAUUUCUUCUUGACUGCUUCUGAGUUACUCCUGUAGCCAGGGCUGUGCUUUCACCUCCUUCCUUUUUCUUGCAACAUAUAAAUUACCAUAUUUUUUACAACUUGAAAACUACCUGAAAUAUUUAGUAGUUACCACCCCAAACCAGUAUUACUGAGUACAAAGGAUGAAUAAUCGGGUACCCAUAAUCAUCCAGAACCUUUGUUUAAUUUCUAACGUGAUGGUAUCCCAUUUACUUCUUCAUUAACCUUGUAAAAUCUAAAAGUAGCAGUUUAAAAUCUGAAAGGGGUAGAUUCAGCUCCUGUAGAACAGUGGUCUAGGACAGGUUUUAACUUUUUGGUAGUUCAUGUUAAUAAUUCUAUUUGUAAACAAGUCACUGCUUACA